GGAUUUCAAAGUAUAUAUAUAUAUAUAUUGUUUAAUUUUAUAUAUCCCUUAAUAAAAUUAUGGUGAUUUUAUUUUAUUCAAAUAUGAGUCAUCAGGUGGGUAAUAGAUAAUUUUAUAAGAUACAAGUCACUUUCCAGUAAGCCAUGAGUGGAUGGAAAGAUGAUUUGAGUCGGGUCCUGAGUGUUUAAGAUAAGCUGCUAUAAAUAUGGUUUCUGCUAUUCUAUGUCAGGUUAAGCUCAUACAAUUUGGAAAGCAAAAGUUGCUGUGGAAAUGGACCUUCGAAAAUGUUCUACAGCAACUCCAUUUUGCUAGGGAUCUUGUUUCUGCUUGAUCAGGCUAAAUUUGAAUGGCAUUCAUGCAUGGAAU
rnacentral:misc_RNA from 1 species